GCUACGGGAGGCAGCAGUGAGGAAUAUUGGUCAAUGGACGAGAGUCUGAACCAGCCAAGUAGCGUGAAGGAUGACUGCCCUAUGGUUUGUAAACUUCUUUUAUAAAGGAAUAAAACGAGGCACGUGUGCCUUUUUGCAUGUACUUUAUGAAUAAGGAUCGGCUAACUCCGUGCCAGCAGCCGCGGUAAUACGGAGGAUCCGAGCGUUAUCCGGAUUUCUUGGGUUUAAAGGGAGCGUAGAUGGGUUGUUAAGUCAGUUGUGAAAGUUUGCGGCUCAACCGUAAAAUUGCAAUUGAUACUGGCAGUCUUGAGUACAGUUGAGGUAGGCGGAAUUCGUGGUGUAGCGGUGAAAUGCUUAGAUAUCACGAAGAACUCCGAUUGCGAAGGCAGCUUACUAAACUGCCACUGACAUUGAUGCUCGAAAGUGUGGGUAUCAAACAGGAUUAGAUACCCUGGUAGUC
rnacentral:rRNA from 1 species